CACCGAGUCCGAGGCUCCGGAAUGAUCCGGAGCCGGUGCAAAAGGAA
rnacentral:sRNA from 21 species